rnacentral:rRNA from 1 species
AGAGUUUGAUCCUGGCUCAGGAUGAACGCUGGCGGUCUGCUUAACACAUGCAAGUCGAACGAAUCCUUUCGGGGAUUAGUGGCGGACGGGUGAGUAACGCGUGAGAAUCUGCCAAAAGGACUGGGACAACCACUGGAAACGGUGGCUAAUACCAGAUGUGCCGCAACGUAAAAGAGGAAACUCGCCUUUUGAGGAGCUCGCGUCUGAUUAGCUAGUUGGUGAGGUAAAAGCUCACCAAGGCAACGAUCAGUAGCUGGUCUGAGAGGACGACCAGCCACACUGGGACUGAGACACGGCCCAGACUCCUACGGGAGGCAGCAGUGGGGAAUUUUCCGCAAUGGGCGAAAGCCUGACGGAGCAAGACCGCGUGAGGGAGGAAGGCUCUUGGGUCGUAAACCUCUUUUGUCAGGGAAGAACACAAUGACGGUACCUGACGAAUCAGCAUCGGCUAACUCCGUGCCAGCAGCCGCGGUAAUACGGAGGAUGCAAGCGUUAUCCGGAAUUAUUGGGCGUAAAGCGUCCGUAGAUGGUUUUGCCAGUCGGCUGUCAAAGCACAGGGCUUAACCCUGUAAAGGCAGUGGAAACUACAAGACUAGAGUGCAGUAGGGGCAGAGGGAAUUCCCAGUGUAGCGGUGAAAUGCGUAGAGAUUGGGAAGAACACCCGUGGCGAAAGNNCUCUGCUGGACUGCUACUGACAUUGAGGGACGAAAGCUAGGGGAGCGAAUGGGAUUAGAUACCCUAGUAGUCC